rnacentral:rRNA from 1 species
UACGUAGGGUGCAGGCGUUAAUCGGAAUUACUGGGCGUAAAGCGUGCGCAGGCGGUCUUUUAAGUCAGAUGUGAAAUCCCCGGGCUUAACCUGGGAACUGCGUUUGAAACUGGAAGGCUUGAGUGUGGCAGAGGGGGGUGGAAUUCCACGUGUAGCAGUGAAAUGCGUAGAGAUGUGGAGGAACACCGAUGGCGAAGGCAGCCCCCUGGGCUAACACUGACGCUCGAUGCACGAAAGCGUGGGGAUCAAACAGG